GGAGGGAUAGCGAAGCAUGGCCAACCGCGCAGGACUCAAGAUCCCGUCCCUUAGGGGUUCGUGGGUUCAAAUCCCACUCCCUCCA
rnacentral:tRNA from 1 species